UACGAAGGGUGCAAGCGUUACUCGGAAUUACUGGGCGUAAAGCGUGCGUAGGUGGUUUGUUAAGUCUGCUGUGAAGCCCCGGGCUCAACCUGGGAAUGGCAGUGGAUACUGGCAAGCUAGAGUGCGGUAGAGGGUAGUGGAAGUUCCCGGUGUAGCGGUGAAAUGCGUAGAGAUCGGGAGGAACACCCAGUGGGCGAAGGGCGG
rnacentral:rRNA from 1 species